AACGAACGCUGGCGGCAGGCCUAACACAUGCAAGUCGAGCGAGGACUUCGGUUCUAGCGGCGGACGGGUGAGUAACGCGUGGGAAUGUGCCCUUCUCUACGGAAUAGCCCUGGGAAACUGGUAGUAAUACCGUAUACGCCCUAUUGGGGAAAGAUUUAUCGGAGAAGGAUCAGCCCGCGUUGGAUUAGGUAGUUGGUGGGGUAAUGGCCUACCAAGCCGACGAUCCAUAGCUGGUUUGAGAGGAUGAUCAGCCACACUGGGACUGAGACACGGCCCAGACUCCUACGGGAGGCAGCAGUGGGGAAUCUUAGACAAUGGGGGCAACCCUGAUCUAGCCAUGCCGCGUGAGUGAUGAAGGCCUUAGGGUUGUAAAGCUCUUUCAGCUGGGAAGAUAAUGACGGUACCAGCAGAAGAAGCCCCGGCUAACUCCGU
rnacentral:rRNA from 1 species